GUGCCAGCCGCCGCGGUAAUACGUAGGGUCCGAGCGUUGUCCGGAAUUACUGGGCGUAAAGAGCUCGUAGGUGGUUUGUCGCGUUGUUCGUGAAAACUCACAGCUUAACUGUGGGCGUGCGGGCGAUACGGGCAGACUAGAGUACUGCAGGGGAGACUGGAAUUCCUGGUGUAGCGGUGGAAUGCGCAGAUAUCAGGAGGAACACCGGUGGCGAAGGCGGGUCUCUGGGCAGUAACUGACGCUGAGGAGCGAAAGCUUGGGGAGCGAACAGGAUUAGAUACCCUGGUAGUCCACGCCGUAAACGGUGGGUACUAGGUGUGGGUUUCCUUCCUUGGGAUCCGUGCCGUAGCUAACGCAUUAAGUACCCCGCCUGGGGAGUACGGCCGCAAGGCUAAAAACUCAAAGGAAUUGACGGGGGCCCGCACAAGCGGCGGAGCAUGUGGAUUAAUUCGAUGCAACGCGAAGAACCUUACCUGGGUUUGACAUGCACAAGACGACUGCAGAGAUGUGGUUUCCCUUGUGGCCUGUGUGCAGGUGGUGCAUGGCUGUCGUCAGCUCGUGUCGUGAGAUGUUGGGUUAAGUCCCGCAACGAGCGCAACCCUUGUCUCAUGUUGCCAGCACGUUAUGGUGGGGACUCGUGAGAGACUGCCGGGGUCAACUCGGAGGAAGGUGGGGAUGACGUCAAGUCAUCAUGCCCCUUAUGUCCAGGGCUUCACACAUGCUACAAUGGCCGGUACAAAGGGCUGCGAUGCCGUGAGGUGGAGCGAAUCCUUUCAAAGCCGGUCUCAGUUCGGAUCGGGGUCUGCAACUCGACCCCGUGAAGUCGGAGUCGCUAGUAAUCGCAGAUCAGCAACGCUGCGGUGAAUACGUUCCCGGGCCUUGCACACACCGCCCGUC
rnacentral:rRNA from 1 species